UGUUCUGUUGGGGCAUGUGUGAAACUGACUGACAGGAGUGAACAGGCAAACCGUGCACUGCUUAGAGAUCAGAUCUCUGAUUUCUUUUGUGCAGGGAGGAGAGGCAGUAACGGUUCUGUUCCAGCUCGGUUAUGGUGGCAUGAAGCCUGGAGCCUCAGCACACCGACAGACAGCUUAUCUUUCCCUUUGGAGUUCUGGGAAGACAUGGAGGCGGAGCUCCAGUGAUUGUGAGAGUUCUCAGUAUUUCCAGUCUUAUCUGCUCAGGCUGGGGGAGGGGGCCUAAUGGAAAGAUAUAUACGAACAGGAAGCAGAGGAUGUGAGUUAGCGGAAAGGCCGCAGCGGAGUCUCCAGUGAAGGCACGGCAUGGCACGACGCGGUGCGCCGCGCGACUCAUGGGCCACUCUGAACUCAACCGGCACUGGCAACCUGGUCACUCUGCGGUCCAGGAACCUUCUCUGCUGAGGGGACGCACUGACAGCCCAGUGCGUGUAGGCUUCUGGGCCCUGAGAUACGGAAGGAGUGGGAAAAAAUGACGGCCAAGAAGCCUUUCACCAAGCGGAGUACCUUUCUGCACAGUGGGGAGGGGCUUCACUGAGGAUUUCAUCACUUCCUGAAAGGGGCCCUGUCUGCCCCGGGGGCCUGCUGCCCGCCGAAGAGCCAGGCACGAUGGCAUUCCCAACCCCCCUGCCCCUCCCCCCUCCC